UUUUUUUUUUUCUCUUUUUGACUUACUGGGCAUGAUUCAUUCUUUUGAACACACAGUGUUUUAAAACAUAAUUCCUACAAAUAGAAAAAAAAAAAAAAAAAGACGUCUUAUCUAAAGAGCAUAUUAAAGUUUCUCCACUCAUUUGACGUUUGCUCUUUCACUAUUCAAUGCCCCACCAUUUGUAGUUUUUUGUGAACAUAAUUACAUUUUUACAAUAAUGUUAUUUUAUCACUUUACGUAUACAUGAGUUUGUUAUUAUAAUCAACUGGUACGGGUAUAGAGGUAAAUUUGUUUAGUAAAGUUACACCCUAUGAACUUAGCUCCCGUUUAAAUGUAAAAUUUCAAAUUUAAUUUUUUAAAUUUAUGUUUGAACAUAUAUUAUAUUUUUUUUAAAUUAAGAUUAUGAGCGAAAGUUUCAAAAGUUGAUCUAAACUUUAAAGACUAAAGCCACUGAAAGUAUUUGUAGAUCAUUUUUAAAAAUAAAAAAAAAGAUGACCAUAAGGAUGAAUUUUUAAUAAGAAAAAACUAUAUAACUAAACAAACAUAACAUAAUGCAUAGAGAAAUUUGUGACUAGAAUCUGAAUGAGCUUUUGAGAUAAUAACAAAUACUCCCUCCAUUUCAAAUUAAUUAAAUUGUUGAGACAUUUUUCAUUUUUCAAAUUAACUUAAUUGUUCAAUUUUCAAGAUUACUUUUAGAAUGUUCUUCCAAUUUUAUCCUUCAUUAGUUUGUAAUGGAAUUAGUUAUUAAUUAAUGCUUAGUUAUUUAAUAAUAAAUUUGACAAUAUUUAAUAAGGGUAAAAAUGGAAAAUCAUGUCCAAUUUAUGUCUUAAUCUUCUUUUCUUAAAGGGUGUGAAACACCUCAACAAUUUAAUUAAUUUGAAAUAGAGGGAGUAACGAGUAAGAGUAGAGAAGCUAAUGCAUUAUUGCAGGUUUAGGUUGAGCUAUAUUUCAUUAUAUGAUAUGAGAUUGCCUUUUUUUUUUGGAUUAAAAAUGAUUAUUUCAUUCCUAGAGGAGAGAAACUCCUUAACCACUAAGCACCAAUAAAAAGGGUGUGCAUGAUAUAUUGAAGGCGGAAUGGUCUAGGAGGCCCAUGUACUUGUCUCAGUUUGUCACCUGCACCCUUCUACUCACGACUUUGCCAACUGAACCUUCGAACCCACUAAAACCCAAUAUUUUAAAUCCUUUUUUGAUUACUCAGUGGUGCGUGAACUACAAACGUCACACGUAACUUUUCACAUCAUUUAAAAAUGCCACGUAGAAAAUGACAUGUUAAAAAUAGGCUAAUUUCUUUCCCUUCCAAAUAUUUCUUUCCCACAGCCUUUUCAACUAGAACCUUGUACUCUCUCUAGUCCCGAUUUACAUUGUUGAUCACCACGAUUUUUUAUUUAUUUUCUGAAGUGUUUGAGUUUGUGUUUCACUCUAUAGUUGUAAGUUUGUUAAUUGAUUUUCAUUCUCUUUGUUUUGCAGUUGUUUUUUUGGUGUUUCAUUUUGAAUUUUGUUGUUUUAGGGUUUAGUACUUUUGCAAAGGUUAUGGUGUGAUUUUUAGGAGGAGUUUGAUUUUUUACAAGCCUAAUAACAAUUUGUAGAAGUAUUAUGCAUUCAAUGACAUUUGUCGUGAAUAUGUUUUGAAUCUAGGGAUUUUUUUCGUAACUGAAAUAUUAUUUUUUUAUCAAUUGUGUUGGAUUUCUUUCUUGUUAGUGGUCCAAUUGGAUUAUAUCAGAUUAUUAUAGAGCUUUUUGUUGUAUUCCAUAAAGAAUUACUUUAAAAUUAGGUUUUUUUUUUGUCAAUUAAGGCUUUUUGUCAAUUAGGGCUUUUUGUCAAUUAGGGAUUUUUUGUCAUUUAGGGCUUUUUGUCAAUUAUCUGAAAGUAUUCUUGUGACUUUGCAGGCAUGGUAAGAAUAUGGCUUCAAUAAUUAUUACACUUCAAAUGCAUUAUGGGGGCUGUUUUUUAUCAGACCCUGAACUCCGGUAUGCCAAUGGAAUUUCUGAUCUUGAAAAAAUAAGAAUCGAUAUGAAUGAGCUCCAUAUCAUGUUUUUUCAGAAAUUAGCUAGUGAACUGGGAGUUGAAAAGUUGAGACCUUUGGGUGCAAAGUUAACAAAAGAGGUGGUUUUUAUAUAUUGAAUAGUGAUGCUGAUGUGUUAAGAUUUAUUAACAACUGAAAGGGUGGGGACUUUGUUGAUGUGUAUGUGGUACAUCAAAUUUGUACCCCUUUAAUUGUUGAGGAUCCUAAUGAGGUGCAACUAGCCCAAUUGCUUACUCCCAAAAUAGGUAACCCCCCCCCCCCCGCCUACUGUUAUAAAUGUUAGGGCUGAUGUGUAUUUCCCUCAACCAUCUGAUAAAAAAGAUGAUACAAAUAUAAAAGAAGAUCAGCAACCUAGGGUAGACAAGGGAAAGAAUAAGGAGACUGAUGCUCUUGAGGUUUCUUUAGAGGACUUAGAUGAAGAUGAAGGUCAAGGUCAAGGCAAUUGUCGUGUCGUAAUUUGACUAUUUCUAGAAAAAUCACUUUUUGAAAUGUUCUAAGUAUAAAACAAUUUAAGAAAAAUACUUAGAAAAGAGUCGCCACUUAAUUUUUUAAAGAAAUCAAGAAAACUUAUAAUUUUCAAAGAUUUAAACAGAAAAAAUCAUUUGAAAAUAUCAGAAAGGGUUCGGUGUUCAAUUUACACUUCGAGAAGGGUUUAAGCAUUCGAAGUGCCCGCUAACAUGCGGUUGACCUGUGACUUGACUAAAAUAUAUAUUUGACUAUUUUUAGAAGAAAUAAUAAUUUAACAUUAAAAAAAUAAUAACUUGUAAUAUAUUUGAUUAAGAAAAUAAUUAAAUAAAUGACGCAUUUUUUAUUAUUAUUUUUUAGAAAAUGGGACCUUAAUUGAACCAUUUGAAUUAAAGACAAGUAAUUAAAAUAUCAACAAAACUAGAUUAAUUGGUUUUUAUUUGAAUCAUUUUUUAAAAUAAUAAUUUAAACCAAAUUGGUUAAUCUAAGCAUGAAAAUAUUUUUUAAUUAAUUGAAGAAUAAAAGCAAAGUUUUGACUAACUUUUUGAGAAAAAGUGACAAAGUAAAAGAAAACCAUUUUUCAAAGUUUAUUGAAGAAAAAUACUUUAACUUAAAAUAAUUUUAGAAUGAGCAAAAAAAUGUGUGGAGAAGCGUUAAAUAACACAUUUUUUAAGAACAAACGAUUUAACUUAAUUGAGGAUGUAAAAUUUGACCAAUAUUUAAUUAAUAAAAUAAAUGACCUCAGCACACAAAAAAAAGUAUUCAAAAGCAAACCAACACAAAGAAAAUAACUCGUCUUUUGGGGGAUCUAAUUAAGUUAAUUAAAAAUUAUAAAGUGAGAGUUAAACAACAAAUAAUAAAUAAUCACGAUUAAAUAAUUAAAGAGUAAGGGAGAAAUUGAAUUUGGGCCUCCUUUUGGGCCAAUUUCGCUGAAAUUUUUUGCCUUCAAACCAAUCCCGUUUUUGUAUACAGCUGGUGUAUAUCGGUGUAUAUCAGCAUAUGCAUAGGCUUUUUUCAUGUAUCUCUUGCUUCCGAACACCUAUAUUUCACCUUAGCCCUGUAUUUUCACACUUUUCGGCCUGUAUAUGAGUGUAUACCGAUGUAUAUCAAUGUAUACAGGCUGCAUAUCAGUCCCCCUUUUCAGCUUUCCAGACCUGUAACGGAUUUCCGAUUUUCCAGCGAUGACCGGAGCAGUACUCGAUACUCGAAAAUGCAAGGAGAUGAUGAAAAGAGUCCAAUUUGGACUCCGCAAAACAUCAUACGUAAGGAAAGUGAAAGGAAAGAAAAUUAGUAUACUCUCUUGAAUGCUUUCUAGAAAUAAAGUUUACAUGAAAACAUUACUCUACGCAUUUGCUGGAAUGAAUGUGGUAAUUAACAAAAUGUUUCAACUUCCAAUUGGCUUCCAAACAGAAAACAAGGACAUGUUUCUUCAAAAAUGUGAAAAUCGUGAAGAUGUUGACAAACCCACAUACAAGAAACAAAUUAAAAUAAAAAUUUGAGGCCUACCUCCCAACAUGCUAAAAUUUUAACCAAUCUACAUGAAUAAAUAAAUUUAUGAUAUUGUAAGGAACAAUAGAUAAUUAGCUUUGGAAAGGAAGAUGAGUUUAACAUUUGGAAAUACCAAACAGUGACAUAUGAUUGAAUAAAUUGCAUGAGUGCAAUUCAAUUUAGCUCACGUAACCAACUAAUAUACCAUCGUUAAUAUCAAAGUUUGCUAUUCUAUAAUUCAUCUAUUUCGAAUGAUAUUAAGUGAAGCAUUCUAAUCUCACAUAACCAAAUGAACUUGAAACUACAACAACAUAGUCAUUUUAACAAUGAAUAUAGUUUCACGUCAAUGAACCAAUGCUACUACGACAUAUUAGGAAAGACCACCAAAUCAGGCCAAAAGGAAAUGAAAUAAACAAACCCCCUGGAGACAGUAACUAACAACAUUGAUGGAAAAAUACACUUUAGACAAGCUUUAUUUAGCUAGGGAAAUCAGUGGGGCAUAUAAUCUUACGAGUUCAACUAGGCAAAGAAAAAAGAUGGAAACAUGCUGGACAUAUGCUUAACAAUUAGCCACGCUUACGUGGACUGAAUGAAAUUAGUUUUUUGAUAAAAAGAAAGGUAUCUUAAUACAAACGAUAAUAACUUAAGGCGAAAAAUAACAACUCUACAUUAAUACGAACCCUUAAGUAUGACUACGAAUCAUGUCUUAGAGAAUUACACACUUGAAUCAUAUGACUAUUUGACUCGAUUAUAUCCAUUUUAAUCAGAAAAGCGAACAGAUCCAUAAUGAAACGAAAGGAGGGAAAAAGCUUCAGCUACUUGACCAACAAUGAAACGAAAGGGGGGAAAAAGCUUCAGCUACUCGACCAAGUAAACUGCACAUUCAUAGUAAUCAAAACAAGGAAGAAACACACCAUUUGAGCUUCCAAAGAGAAGAAAAAGAAAUGCAAUUAAACUACUAUACAAAAUAUAACAUGAAUGAUAAACUAAAACUAAACAGAGCUGAAAAUUGCUAAAGAAAGAAGAUUACCUUCUUCCGGGCAGCGAAUGGAACAAUGACGAGCAGAGACGAUUGACUUCCACCACUACACGAGGCUUUGCCGAAAAGCUUGGAUGCAAGCUUCAAGAACGAAACUUUAAAAACUCGCACCUUAAAACUCUUUUACUAUCUAAGUCGAUUUAUAAAUAAAUAUUUCUCUUCUAUCUCUCCCACUUCUUCCUUGCUUCUGUUCUCUCUAGUAUCUAUUUUUCCCUUUGUUUCUUGACAAAUUUUCUUUUCUUUUCUUUUUUCCACCCCCCAACAAUGAAGAAGAAGAGAGUUUAUAUAGGGGAUUUUCUCUGGUUCGGAAUUUGGGGGGAAACGAGUGAGGAUAAGGAUGAAUUUCCAAUUUGAAAUUCAAAAAUUCCUCCAAGAUACAAGGCUCAACCAGUUGGAAAUAGUACCAAUUCCAACGGAUUGAGAAGGAGGGUCGUUCGAUCUUGGCAAGGACGAGUGAAUCGCAGAGAUUGGGACACGUCGAGAGGAGAGAGAUGUGCGCUGCUGUUGGACGCGAUUGAGUCGCGAUUUUUGGGUUUUCACAGUGGAGAAGAAGAAGAAACGUGUAAGGUCAGG
rnacentral:lncRNA from 1 species